UACGGGGGGGGCAAGCGUUGUUCGGAAUUACUGGGCGUAAAGGGCUCGUAGGCGGCCAACUAAGUCGGACGUGAAAUCCCUCGGCUUAACCGGGGAACUGCGUCCGAUACUGGAUGGCUCGAGUGUGGGAGAGGGAUGCGGAAUUCCAGGUGUAGCGGUGAAAUGCGUAGAUAUCUGGAGGAACACCGGUGGCGAAGGCGGCAUCCUGGACCGGUAUUGACGCUGAGGCGCGAAAGCCAGGGGAGCAAACGGG
rnacentral:rRNA from 1 species